CUAAAAUGAGAGUUUGAUCCUGGCUCAGGACGAACGCUGGCGGCGUGCCUAAUACAUGCAAGUCGAACGCUUUUUUCAA
rnacentral:rRNA from 1 species